CCAGUAUCGAGUAUGCGUCGAAAAGCUUAGUGUUCCAACGUAACCACAUUAAGCCAAACAAAAAUAAAAUCCAUGCCAUAGCUAUUUUCCAUCUUGAACAAAUUUGUGUUCCAGGACUUAAGACAUUAUAGGUAGAAGUUGCUGGUGCUGAAGCUGAAGCUGAAGCUGGUUCUCCUUUCAAAAUACGAAAGCUAUACAAACAUAUAUCCGAAUUUAUACCCAUGCACUAAAGAUCAAUUGAAAUCCUUAUUUAUUGGGUUGAAACUAUCAAAGUUGUUGCUGCGACUAUACUGAUGGUGGUCCUACUUUCUGCUGCUGAUGCUGCUUCUACUGAUGCCGAUACUGAUGCUAAGAUGCAACUGCACAGGUAAAGAUGUUCAGUACCAAGUGGGACAAGAACCGAGCGUAUAGUGUGGAGACAGUCCGCGGCUACCAACAUCACGGCGCCAUUUUUAAAUAUUUUCAAAUAAAAUUUGACAAGUUUCAGAUUUAUUAAUUAAAAACAAAAAAGUGAAUUUUUCGGUGAACAAGGGUAGCCAGACCCCUAAACUGAAGUCCCAUACUUUGGCGGACACUUUGUGGCGGAAUCAAAAAAAAUUAAUCUCAUUUAUUGUAGCUAAUUAAAUGCUAAUUUGUUGCGCAAAAAUUGUCCAAAAAAAUGCGAAAUUCAAAAAAAAAAAUUUUGCAGAAAUUUGAA